rnacentral:tRNA from 1 species
GGGGGUGUAACUCAGUGGUAGAAUGCUUGUCUAGCAUGCAUGAGGCCCUGGGUUUGAUCCUCAGCACCACCA